GCAAGUCGAACGGUAAAGCGGGCUUCGGCCUGGCGACGAGUGGCGGACGGGUGAGUACAACACGGAACGUAUCCUGAAGUGGGGGAUAGCCCGGCGAAAGCCGGAUUAAUACCGCAUGAUCUCUUAGGAACAAAGCGGGGGAGCCGUAAGGUCCUCGCGCUAUUGGAGCGGCCGAGGCUGGAUUAGCUUGUUGGUGGGGUAAAGGCCUACCAAGGCAACGAUCCGUAGCUGGUCUGAGAGGAUGAUC
rnacentral:rRNA from 1 species